rnacentral:rRNA from 1 species
CCUACGGGAGGCAGCAGUGAGGAAUAUUGGUCAAUGGGCGCAAGCCUGAACCAGCCAAGUCGCGUGAGGGAAGACGGCCCUACGGGUUGUAAACCUCUUUUGCCGGGGAGCAAGCCUGAGCACGUGUGCCCAGGCGGAGAGUACCCGGAGAAAAAGCAUCGGCUAACUCCGUGCCAGCAGCCGCGGUAAUACGGAGGAUGCGAGCGUUAUCCGGAUUUAUUGGGUGUAAAGGGAGCGUAGACGGCGCGGCAAGUCUGAGGUGAAAGGCAGGGGCUUAACCCCUGAACUGCUUUGGAAACUGCCAG